rnacentral:lncRNA from 1 species
GGGGGCGGAGCAAAUCGGCUCUCCUGGCAGCGACCCGGCUGGCCGCCACGUGGGGCGCUGCGGACACCCGUCGGCCAGCGGCGCUGAGGCGCCAACAGGCAGGACGCGUCGCCGCCACAGCCAAGGCGCUCGGGCCCCCGGGGCCUCGGAUUCCCUCGGCUUUAUCAGCUGUCGCUUUUCUACCGUACGCCGCGGCGCUUUUACGCUUUGCAGUCGAUGCGAGCGCGCUCCCGGCAGCCCGCGCACACUGAUGCACGCACGCCCUGCUAGUAUUGCACGGCGUCUACACGCUUAACGCGCUGCUGCUGAAGGCCCCGUGCUGCACGGCGAAGCUGCCGCCCAAGUUGUCCUUGCCGAGCCUCCAGCCGGGCGACCUGUACUCCGCCACGCGCUUCCCCUCCACCCCACUGGUCACCCUUCCUCGCGCAAGGAAGUGCAUCGCGGGAGGAAAAGCGGCUCCCUUCGGUCCAUGGAUGCAAACUGCGCCGCAGCUCACGGAAACGAAAACCUGUCACCACAAGCCUGGGAAGUAAAUAGUAUCGAAAUUAUCUCCGUUGUACAGAUGUGAGGACUGAGGCUCCAAAAAGCAUAAAUUCAGGCCCAGUGGCGUUCCCAGUAAGCAGCAGCACUGAGAGUGUGCUUUUGACUCCUGCGGUUCGUGUUCCUAAGUAUGUCCGUGGUUAUUCCCUUCAAACAUCUUUCAAACGCAUUGAAAAUAAAAUAUGCCCGCUUAAAGGACAUAAUUGGAGAUAUUUCGGGAGAAACUAAUUGGAAGGAGGACUUGAAAGCUAGGAAAAUGAUGAUUCUGUUCACAGAAAAUAGAAGAGAAAAAGAGACUACUCUUUACUAAGUUUUAAAGUAUAUUUUCCUUUGUUCCCUCACCAUCUCUAUCCCUAUUGCCCACUCCCUGCCACCAAAAUUAAUGACUGUAGUAUGCUUUAAAGAAACCUUAUCAAAAAAAAAUGAUGACUUUUAUUGUGACUUUAUUAUUAUUAUGUUAAUAUUUUAAAUUCAAAUAUGA